GCAGGCGUAGCUCAGUGGUAGAGCUCUUGCUUCCCAAGCAAGUGGUCGUGGGUUCGAGCCCCAUCGCCUGCUCCA
rnacentral:tRNA from 1 species